UGGAAUGUGGCUCAGUGGUAGAGUGCUUGCCUAGCAUGCAAGAAGCCCUAGGUUUGAUUCCUCAGUACCAC
rfam:Dipodomys ordii contig_65944, whole genome shotgun sequence.